GAUCAAGUGUCUUAAGGGCAAUUGGUGGAUGCCUUGGCAUGCACAGGCGAUGAAGGACGUGAUACGCUGCGAUAAGCUACGGGGAGGUGCGAAUACCCUUUGAUCCGUAGAUUUCCGAAUGGGGAAACCCACCUAAGGUGCUUGGAAAAUCAGAGCAGCCAGUGGUCGACAAGGCCAACUUGCUGCUGUGGUUUCCAAGUAUCGAUAAUAGGUAACUUACCCUGAAUACAUAGGGGUAAAGUGGCGAACGCGGGGAACUGAAACAUCUAAGUACCCGUAGGAAAGGACAUCAACCGAGACUCCGGCAGUAGUGGCGAGCGAACCCGGACCAGGCCAGUGGCGAUGAUGAGACAAGCGGAACCUUCUGGAAAGUAGGGCCAUAGUGGGUGACAGCCCCGUACGCGUAAUGCAAAUCAUCGUCCUCGAGUAAGGCGGGACACGUGAAAUCCUGUCUGAAAUUGGGGGGACCACCCUCCAAGCCUAAGUACUCGUGCAUGACCGAUAGCGAACUAGUACCGUGAGGGAAAGGUGAAAAGCACCCCGACAAGGGGAGUGAAAGAGUACCUGAAACCGAUUGCCUACAAACAGUGGGAGUCCAAGGUUCGUCCUGGGUGACCACGUACCUUUUGUAUAAUGGGUCAGCGACUUAGUGUGACGAGCAAGCUUAAACCGCUAGGUGUAGGCGCAGCGAAAGCGAGUCUGAACAGGGCGUUCAGUUCGUCGCAUUAGACCCGAAACCGAGUGAUCUAGCCAUGAGCAGGUUGAAGGUAAGGUAACACUUACUGGAGGACCGAACCCAUAACUGUUGCAAUAGUUCGGGAUGACUUGUGGCUAGGGGUGAAAGGCCAAUCAAACUCGGAAAUAGCUGGUUCUCCGCGAAAUCUAUUUAGGUAGAGCGUCGACCGAAUACCCCAGGGGGUAGAGCACUGGAUGGGCUAGGGGUCCUCACCGGAUUACCAAACCUAACCAAACUCCGAAUACCUGGGAGUACUAGUCGGCAGACACACGGCGGGUGCUAACGUCCGUCGUGGAAAGGGAAACAACCCUGACCUACAGCUAAGGUCCCCAAGUUAUGGCUAAGUGGGAAAGGAUGUGAGGAUCCCAAAACAACCAGGAUGUUGGCUUAGAAGCAGCCAUCAUUUAAAGAAAGCGUAACAGCUCACUGGUCUAAAUAAGGGUCUUUGCGCCGAAAAUGUAACGGGGCUAAAGCCAUACACCGAAGCUUAGGGUUCGUGAGCAAUCACGAGCGGUAGCGGAGCGUUCUGUAAGCUGAUGAAGCCAUACCCGUGAGGGAUGGUGGAGGUAUCAGAAGUGCGAAUGCUGACAUGAGUAACGUAAGGGGAGUGAGAGACUCCCCCGCCGAAAGUCCAAGGGUUCCUGCUUAAAGCUAAUCUGAGCAGGGUUAGCCGGCCCCUAAGUCGAGGCAGAAAUGCGUAGACGAUGGGAACCACGUUAAUAUUCGUGGGCCUGGAGGAAGUGACGGAUCAUUGAGGUAGUCCAAUCUUAUCGGAUUGAAAGGGCUGCUGCGUGGUUCCAGGAAAUAGCUCCUCCUUAUAGACCGUACCCGAAACCGACACUGGUGGACUGGUAGAGUAUACCAAGGCGCUUGAGAGAACUAUGCUGAAGGAACUCGGCAAAUUGCACGCGUAACUUCGGAAGAAGCGUGACCCUUUUCUACGCAAGUAGAGGAGGGUGGCACAGACCAGGGGGUAGCGACUGUUUAUCAAAAACACAGGGCUCUGCGAAGUCGCAAGACGACGUAUAGGGUCUGACGCCUGCCCGGUGCUGGAAGGUUAAGAGGAGGGGUGCAAGCUCUGAAUCGAAGCCCCAGUAAACGGCGGCCGUAACUAUAACGGUCCUAAGGUAGCGAAAUUCCUUGUCGGGUAAGUUCCGACCUGCACGAAUGGCGUAACGACUUCCCCGCUGUCUCCAGCAUAGACUCAGUGAAAUUGAAUUCCCCGUGAAGAUGCGGGGUUCCUGCGGUUAGACGGAAAGACCCCGUGCACCUUUACUAUAGCUUUACAUUGGCAUUCGUAGUGGCAUGUGUAGGAUAGGUGGUAGGCUUUGAAACCUGGGCGCCAGCUCAGGUGGAGCCACCCUUGAAAUACCACCCUUAUCACUAUGGAUGUCUAACCGCGGCCCGUUAUCCGGGUCCGGGACAAUGUAUGGUGGGUAGUUUGACUGGGGCGGUCGCCUCCUAAAGAGUAACGGAGGCGCGCGAUGGUGGGCUCAGAACGGUCGGAAAUCGUUCGCUGAGUGCAAUGGCAUAAGCCUGCCUGACUGCGAGACUGACAAGUCGAGCAGAGACGAAAGUCGGUCAUAGUGAUCCGGUGGUCCCGCGUGGAAGGGCCAUCGCUCAACGGAUAAAAGGUACGCCGGGGAUAACAGGCUGAUGACCCCCAAGAGUCCAUAUCGACGGGGUUGUUUGGCACCUCGAUGUCGACUCAUCGCAUCCUGGGGCUGGAGCAGGUCCCAAGGGUAUGGCUGUUCGCCAUUUAAAGCGGUACGUGAGUUGGGUUCAGAACGUCGUGAGACAGUUCGGUCCCUAUCUGCCGUGGGUGUAGGAAUAUUGAAAGGAUCUGUCCCUAGUACGAGAGGACCGGGAUGGACGGAUCUCUGGUGGACCUGUUGUGGCGCCAGCCGCAUAGCAGGGUAGCUAUAUCCGGACGGGAUAACCGCUGAAGGCAUCUAAGCGGGAAACCCACCUUAAAACGAGUAUUCCCUGAGAACCGUGGAAGACGACCACGUUGAUAGGCCGGGUGUGGAAGAGCGGCAACGCUUGAAGCUUACCGGUACUAAUAGUUCGAUCGGCUUGAUCGUUCUCAUU
rnacentral:rRNA from 1 species